rnacentral:rRNA from 1 species
GUUGUGGGGUUAAGCGACUAAGCGUACACGGUGGAUGCCCUGGCAGUCAGAGGCGAUGAAGGACGUGCUAAUCUGCGAUAAGCGUCGGUAAGGUGAUAUGAACCGUUAUAACCGGCGAUUUCCGAAUGGGGAAA